CAGUCGCCGCGGUAAUACGUAGGUGGCAAGCGUUGUCCGGAAUUAUUGGGCGUAAAGGGCUCGCAGGCGGUUUCUUAGGUCUGAUGUGAAAGCCCCCGGCUCAACCGGGGAGGGUCAUUGGAAACUGGGAAACUUGAGUGCAGAAGAGGAGAGUGGAAUUCCACGUGUAGCGGUGAAAUGCGUAGAGAUGUGGAGGAACACCAGUGGCGAAGGCGACUCUCUGGUCUGUAACUGACGCUGAGGAGCGAAAGCGUGGGGAGCGAACAGGAUUAGAUACCCCUGUAGUCCCUGUCUCUUAUAC
rnacentral:rRNA from 1 species